rnacentral:rRNA from 1 species
UGAGGAAUAUUGGGCAAUGGGCGCAAGCCUGACCCAGCCAUGCCGCGUGCAGGAUGACGGCGCUAUGCGUUGUAAACUGCUUUUGUACAGGAAGAAACCCAUCUACGUGUAGGUGGUUGACGGUACUGUCAGAAUAAGCAUCGGCUAACUCCGUGCCAGCAGCCGCGGUAAUACGGAGGAUGCAAGCGUUAUCCGGAUUCAUUGGGUUUAAAGGGUGCGUAGGCGGAAUGCUAAGUCAGUGGUGAAAUCCUGCAGCUUAACUGUAGAACUGUCAUUGAUACUGGUAUUCUUGAAUGCAGUUGAGGUAGGCGGAAUGUGUAAUGUAGCGGUGAAAUGCUUAGAUAUUACCCAGAACACCGAUUGCGAAGGCAGCUUACUAAACUGUGAUUGACGCUGAGGC